UAUUAAGUUGGUGCAAAAGUAAUUGCUGUCUUUGCCAUAACUUUUAAUGGCAAAACCUGCCAUUACUUUUGCACCAACCUAAUAUUU
ensembl:miRNA